GACGAACGCUGGCGGCGUGCCUAAUACAUGCAAGUAGAACGCUGAAGAGAGUAGCUUGCUCUUCUUGGAUGAGUUGCGAACGGGUGAGUAACGCGUAGGUAACCUGCCUUGUAGCGGGGGAUAACUAUUGGAAACGAUAGCUAAUACCGCAUAACAAUGGAUGACACAUUUCAUUUAUUUGAAAGGGGCAAUUGCUCCACUACAAGAUGGACCUGCGUUGUAUUAGCUAGUAGGUGAGGUAACGGCUCACCUAGGCGACGAUACAUAGCCGACCUGAGAGGGUGAUCGGCCACACUGGGACUGAGACACGGCCCAGACUCCUACGGGAGGCAGCAGUAGGGAAUCUUCGGCAAUGGGGGCAACCCUGAACGAGCAACGCCGCGUGAGUGAAGAAGGUUUUCGGAUCGUAAAGCUCUGUUGUAAGUCAAGAACGAGUGUGAGAGUGGAAAGUUCACACUGUGACGGUAGCUUACCAGAAAGGGACGGCUAACUACGUG
rnacentral:rRNA from 1 species